UGCAAUGCCAAGUGUUUUAUUAAGAAAAACAUGGAGAUACAUCUGUAGUAAUUGUGACUCAUAUUUCCAACUGUUAAUCUAUUGCGUCAGGUGCUUCCAUUCUUUAAUUUCCACAUGUAUUACUCAAUUUAGUUCUAAAACAAUACAAUACUAGGACUCCUCUGUCAUCUUAACAAAUUUGCUUGAUCAGCCCAUAUUAGCUAUCACAAAUGGCUACUCAGUUAAGUUGCGCACACUUACAUGCUUUACAAAAACCUCUUCAACAUUCUCUACAUGAAAAAUACUUACGAUAAAAAGAUGGACGUAAAUUUAUUAAGAACAAAAGGUAAGCUUAAUCUGAACGUUUUCAAUGAAUUACGGUUCAAAUGGUAUAAAGGUAAAAAGUUAAGCUAAAUAGACAAGAAAUAUCGUUGACUUCAGCGCUUAUAUUUCACAAACUUCUUUAAUUUAAAAAUCUUAACAUGCAUUUGAACCUUACCAAAGAGAUCAAGAAUUAAGCCAAAGAGUUUGCACCAGUAACGAUAUCGAUAAGUUCGUUAGUAAUGGAGGCUUGACGUUGACGAUUAUAUUGGAUGGAAAACUUGUUAAUCAUAUCUCCAGCACUCUUGCUUGCAUUUUCCAUGGCGUUACGACGAGAUGACAUUUCACUGCAAUGAGCUUCCGCCAUGGCAGAAAAAAUAGCAUUGGCAAAUGCAAAUUCCAUGAGUGGUUGAUGGACUUCAUCACUUACCUCGUAUGCAGAGAGAUUGGGGGAUUCAUUGAUGGCCUUAGUUGUAU